rnacentral:tRNA from 4 species
GGGCGGUUAGCUCAGCGGUAGAGCACUGUCCUCACACGACAGGGGCCACAGGUUCAAAUCCUGUACCGCCCACCA